AGAAAGGUAGUAUACAAAUUACGUUAAGCUUAUUACUUAAAAAUCUUUUUAAGUCUUUCUA
rnacentral:tRNA from 1 species